rnacentral:rRNA from 1 species
UAACCUGCCUAUUAGAGGGGGAUAACUAUUGGAAACGAUAGCUAAUACCGCAUAACAGUAUGUAACACAUGUUAGAUGCUUGAAAGAUGCAAUUGCAUCGCUAGUAGAUGGACCUGCGUUGUAUUAGCUAGUAGGUAGGGUAAAGGCCUACCUAGGCAACGAUACAUAGCCGACCUGAGAGGGUGAUCGGCCACACUGGGACUGAGACACGGCCCAG